rnacentral:rRNA from 1 species
UCGGGAAUUGUUCGCAAUGGGCGCAAGCCUGACGACGCAACGCCGCGUGGAGGACGAAGAUUUUCGGAUCGUAAACUCCUUUCGAUCGGGAAGAACAGUUCUUGGGUUAAUAGCCUGAGAAUCUGACGGUACCGAGAGAAGAAGCCCCGGCUAACUCCGUGCCAGCAGCCGCGGUAAUACGGGGGGGGCAAGCGUUGUUCGGAAUUACUGGGCGUAAAGGGAUUGUAGGCGGCCAACUAAGUCCGACGUGAAAUCCCAAGGCUUAACCUUGGAACUGCGUCGGAUACUGGAUGGCUUGAAUUCGGGAGAGGGAUGCAGAAUUCCAGGUGUAGCGGUGAAAUGCGUAGAUAUCUGGAGGAAUACCGGUGGCGAAGGCGGCAUCCUGGACCGACAUUGACGCUGAAAAUCGAAAGCUAGGGGAGCAAACGG